rnacentral:rRNA from 1 species
AUUGAACGCUGGCGGCAGGCCUAACACAUGCAAGUCGAGCGGAUGAAGGUAGCUUGCUACCUGAUUCAGCGGCGGACGGGUGAGUAAUGCCUAGGAAUCUGCCUGGUAGUGGGGGACAACGUCUCGAAAGGAACGCUAAUACCGCAUACGUCCUACGGGAGAAAGUGGGGGAUCUUCGGACCUCACGCUAUCAGAUGUGCCUAGGUACGAUUAGCUAGUUGGUGAGGUAAAGGCUCACCAAGGCGACGAUCGUUAACUGGUCUGAGAGGAUGAUCAGUCAAACUGGAACUGAGACACGGUCCAGACUCCUACGGGAGGCAGCAGUGGGGAAUAUUGGACAAUGGGCGAAAGCCUGAUCCAGCCAUGCCGCGUGUGUGAAGAAGGUCUUCGGAUUGUAAAGCACUUUAAGUUGGGAGGAAGGGCAGUAAGUUGAUACCUUGCUGUUUUGACGUUACCGACAGAAUAAGCACCGGCUAACUUCGUGCCAGCAGCCGCGGUAAAAC